rnacentral:lncRNA from 1 species
UUUCAAAUGUGGAAAUGAUAAGCACCAUCACUGGUUAUUCUUUAUUUUCUUCCAUUUCACAAAAACAAACCUGAAAAACUUGCACUUGAAAAGAGAGACAAACACUAUGUUUCAUGAAAUAUAUUGCAUGCAUGUACAAGUUUAGGGGAAAAAUCACCAGUUAACCCAUUAAAAUAAAAUAAAAUAAAUAUUUAAAAAUUGAAUAAAGAAUGGCCCAACCGGGUUCGAACCGAUGACCUCAAGAUUUGCAAUCAAACAUGCAGCUCAAAUGCUCUACCACUGAGCUAUGGACCCGUGAAUGAGCAAUAGUUUUAUAUUCAAAUUACUUAUCUCAUUUCACCAACUUUUCAUCUCAUACAUACGCAUUUUAUUAUUCUCUUCAAAUUUCAAAAGUGAAAAAGAUAAGCACAAUCACUGGUUUUUCUUUAUUUUCUUCCAUUUCACAGACAAAAACUAGAAAACCUUUUACAUGGAAAGAGAGACAAACACUAUGUUUCAUGAAAUAUAUUGCAUGUAUGUACAAGUUUAGGGGAAAAAUCACCAGUUAACCCAUUAAAAUAAAAUAAAAAAAUUAUUUAAAAAUAGAAUAAAGAAGGGCCCAACCGGGUUCGAACCGAUGACCUCAAGAUUUGCAAUUACCAUGCAGCUCAAAUGCUCUACCACUGAGCUAUGGACCCG